UUUUCUCUCUCUCUCGUCUGCGUAUCGGUUCGUGUGUUGCUGCGCUUUAAUAAUAGCGGUUUUGCUGACACCAAGGCUUCAGUUUCAGAACAUUUUUCUCUCUCUGUCUCUCUCUCUCUCUCUCUCUCUCUCUCUCUCUCUCUCUCUCUCUCUCUCUCUCUCUCUCUCUCUCUCUCUCUCUCUCUCCCCCCCUGUUAUCGUAUUGAUUUAUUGACAUAUUCAUAAUGUAGUGUAGUUAUCGGCUAUGACUGUACUGCGACAGGAUGGAGAUUAAUAGAGAUGAUAGAGGUACUGUAGUGGUAGUCCUUCUAUAGUCCUACUGUAGGAGUAGUCCUAGUGUAUCUGUAGUCCUGGCUGUAGUCCUACUGUAGUCCUAGUGUAUCUGUAGUCCUGGCUGUAGUCCUACCUUAGUCCUAGUGUAGGAGUAGUCCUGCUGUAGUCCUGGUGUAGGAGUAGUCCUACUGUAGUCCUAGUGUAUGUGUAGUCCUGGCUGUAGUCCUACUGUUGGAGUAUUCCUACUGUAGUCCUAGUGUAUCUGUAGUCCUGGCUGUAGUCCUACUGUUGGUGUAGUCCUACUGUAGUCCUGUUGGUGUAGUCCUACUGUAGGUGUAGUCCUGGCUGUAGUCCUACUGUUGGUGUAGUCCUACUGUAGGUGUAGUCCUGGCUGUAGUCCUACUGUUUGUGUAUUCCUACUGUAGUCCUACUGUUGGUGUAGUCCUACUGUAGUUCUACUGUAUAUGCAGUCCUACUGUAGGUUGAUUCCUACUCUAGUUGGGAGUCCUACAGUCCUACUGUAGGUGUAGUCUAUUGUAAGUGUAGUCCUACUGUAUGUGGAAUCCUACUGUAGUCCUACUGUUUACCUAUUCAAGAUUCAAGAUUCACUUUAUUGUCAUUUAAGAAAAAAAACGUACCUCCAUACAAGAAAUGAAACGAAAUGCCGUUCCUCACUAGUGCAUACAGUGUUUGAAUAAAUAGUUGUAGUCCUGCUGUAUUCCUGUUGUAGGACGCCUACAUCAGGUACAGGCAGUCGACCUCCUCUAGACCCAGACCCCAGACCCCCUACCUCGGUCAGACCGAAGGCCUACGGCAGCCCCAGGCCUGGGGUUCUGGGCGGUCUCCAUGGAGACAGGGUUCACCUGUUGAGAUGGUACCAUCGCUCCAGAGGAUCCGAUCACAGCUCUACUCUGGUGGUCCUUAAAAUGUGCUUCACUGGUCUGAGAAGAUCUGCAGGAGUUUCUUUGUGUGUGUGUG
ensembl:lncRNA